UUCCAUGGCGGGCGGUGCGCGGGGAUCUUAGGAUCCACCGGGAAAAUAGCGGGGUAGCGUCCCCGGUACUGUGACCCGCACCGUCCGCCACCUCG
rnacentral:antisense_RNA from 1 species